rnacentral:rRNA from 1 species
UACGUAGGGACCAAGCGUUGUCCGGAAUCAUUGGGCGUAAAGAGCGUGUAGGCAGCCUGUUAAGUCUUGCGUGAAAUCUCGGGGCUCAACCCCGAGCGGUCGUGAGAAACUGGCAGGCUAGAGUGCGGGAGAGGAGAGUGGAAUUCCUGGUGUAGCGGUGAAAUGCGCAGAUAUCAGGAAGAACACCCGUGGCGAAGGCGGCUCUCUGGAACGCAACUGACGCUGAGACGCGAAAGCGUGGGGAGCAAACAGG